rnacentral:tRNA from 2 species
GGGUAGGUGGUCCAGCCUGGUAGGAUUCCCGCCUCGGGAGCGGGAGGUCCUGGGUUCAAAUCCCAGCCUACCCA